rnacentral:rRNA from 1 species
ACUACGGAGAGUUUGAUCCUGGCUCAGGACGAACGUUGGCGGCGUGCCUAAUACAUGCAAGUCAACUGAAGUUAAGGUAGCAAUACUUUAACAACGGUGGCGCACGGGUGAGUAACACGUAGGUAAUCUGCCUUCAGGUCUGACAUAACCCACCGAAAGGUGAGCUAAUAUCAGAUGAUGCAGCGGCUCGACAUCGAGACAGUUGUUAAACCUUCGGGGCCUGAAGAUGAGCCUGCGUCUGAUUAGCUAGUUGGCGGGGUAACGGCCCACCAAGGCAACGAUCAGUAGCUGGUCUGAGAGGAUGAUCAGCCACACUGGAACUGAGAUACGGUCCAGACUCCUACGGGAGGCAGCAGUAAGGAAUAUUGCUCAAUGGGAGAAAUCCUGAAGCAGCAACGCCGUGUGAGGGAUGAAGGGCUUUUGCUUGUAAACCUCUGUAGUGAGGGAAAAACCCCCGCCUCUGGCGGGUAUGAUGGUACCUCAAAAGUAAGCCCCGGCUAACUACGUGCCAGCAGCCGCGGUAAUACGUAGGGGGCAAACGUUGUCCGGAUUUACUGGGUGUAAAGGGUGCUCAGGCGGUCUUGUAAGUCAGAAGUGAAAUCCUAGGGCUUAACUCUGGAACUGCUUUUGAUACUGCAAGGCUUGAGUAUGGAAGAGGAGGAUGGAAUUUCUGGUGUAGCAGUGAAAUGCGUAGAUAUCAGAAAGAACACCAGUGGCGAAGGCGGUCCUCUGGUCCAUUACUGACGCUAAAGCACGAAAGCGUGGGGAGCAAACAGGAUUAGAUACCCUGGUAGUCCACGCCUUAAACGAUGAAUACUAGACGUUGGGAUAAAACUCAGUGUCGCAGCUAACGCAAUAAGUAUUCCACCUGGGGAGUACGAUCGCAAGGUUGAAACUCAAAGGAAUUGACGGGGGCCCGCACAAGCAGUGGAGCAUGUGGUUCAAUUCGAUGCAACGCGAAGAACC